rnacentral:misc_RNA from 1 species
UCCGACUUUCGAGAUGAGAUGGAGUGACAAUACUGAGAACUCUCGGUAUUGUCGGGAGGAGGAAAAUCUGAGAACCUCUGAUUUUCCCCAGACGGGAGAUGCAAGAAUAUCGAGAACGCUCGGUAUUCGUUGCGAGGGCGAGAAAGCUGAGAACACUCCGAAUUCUCGAGAAAGGAUAGAACAGGAAUACGGAGAACGCUCGAUAUUCGCUGAGAGAAUCUUCUCUCGCUGUUCUGGUCGGAACGGUUGUCGGUGUUGGACAGGUCGGAGGAACGGAUAGGACUGGUCUCUCGUCUUAAAAUUCAUCGGGUAUUUAUACCCCUAUCCGCGCCAUGUGUCACCGUUUAGUUUGUUAGCGUUUGUUAAUGUAACAAUAGCUGUCACGUUGUCGCUGCGUGACAGCUCGUCGGCGCGCGUGUGUCGGUCGGUCGCGGUCGGGAAUGUUCGGGCGGCCUCGGAUGGCGCGGGCCGCAUUUGCGCGCGCUAGUAACAGAGCAUCUUUCGGAUGCUCUGUUACAGGGUUCACGGUCGACCAGAGAUUUAUCGAAGCGAGAAUUCAGAGAGAAGCUUCGCCGGAAUAUCAACUUCUAAAUACAGUCAUCGAGGAAGCAAGAUUGAAUUCAAUCGCGUUAGAGGAGUGGAGAAACCUUAUAAACGAAAAAUUAGCGAAGAAAGAGCGAAAGAAGAAGAAGAAGAAGAAGAAGGAGAAGGAAACGAAAGAAAAGGAUAGCAAGGAGGUCACUGGUAGCGAUAGCAACAAUACCGGACCGAGCAAUUACUGCAUGGAUAUGGCGGAAAACGAAAGUGCAAUCGAUGAAACGCAACAACAGGCGUCUGAUGGAGAAAAUGCGGAAAUGUUGCCAUCUGAGCGAGUAAUGCAGAUGGAGGAAGAAGAAAAGCGUGAACAAGAAGAGAAGAAACGCUACCGUGAUCCGCCAACUGUAUUCAAAGACUUGAUAGAUGUACAAGCGGAAUACGAUGGUCUGGUAGACGCUCUCAAGGAAAAAUUGAACGACGAAGAACAAACGUGCUUGGACGAGCUGUGUCUUGGAGAAUGAAGGUUUUUGGGCUUUAGGCGAUAAUUUCCUUCGUAGGUGAGUUAUCAAAGAGUACAGGGGUGCAGGAUUUUCAAUAUUUCUGGAAUUAUGCUUAAUUUAUCAAACUCUGAAUUUUAAAAGGAUUUUUAAGUUGAAUAAUUUAUUAAAAAUUGAUUUUAAGAUAAGUUUUUAAUAUUUGCUUCUAAAAACACAUUGUUAAAAUAUAAAUUAUUUAUAAAUUAUAAAUUAUAUAAAAUAUAAAUGGUUUCAUAUCGAGUCCUCUACGAUAAAUCAUUAGGCAGCGAUGUACGAGUAAAAUUGUUGAAUGUGCUGUCUGUCGCCGCACUGAAAGAUGAUAUGAUCUUGUUGCAUCAAGACAGAGCACAUCAUCAUGACUUAUGCCUUUGAUAUCGAUCAGCAUCCACUAGAGGAACAACUUACAUUAGCACAAUUUUUGGCGAAUAUGAGAAUCUUAGCAGCUCGGAAUGACUACUCUAUAUAUCUAGAAUGGCAGCAUCAAGAUCAGAACAUCAGUAGCAACAUUAACAAUAUAAGGAUGACAAUCAAAGUCGCGGUACACUCGUUGCUCUCAAAUUCGGAAGCUCUGCAGAUCCGUGGCGCGGCCAUCAUUCAUAACCUUGUUUGCAAGGAGAUAAAAAAUCUGUAUUCUGUAACUGUUGUUGUGUUAACUGUAGUCCUGUAUCCUUCCUGUCCAAUUAACAUUCUCAUCUCUCGCCGAUUCUCGCUUUCAUUUUCUCGUAACUCAUCAUUGCAAGUGCUUCGCGUAUCGAAGACAUCUUACUGAAGACUAUAAUUCUGUAAAGAUUAUCAUUCAGUUUUAACGUACAAAUUUUUUUCUGCACAAAUUUCUUUCUUACAAGACAGAUUUCGUAGACUUUGCUUGUUUUACUUAUUUUAUUUAUAUAAAUUACAGGAACAUAAAGGAAAAGAUACAAAUCGAAAUUGAAUCUGAAGUUAGAUCGAUUCUUCGAUGCACAAUUUGUGACGUCGUUUUCGCGUGCUUGCCGAUGUCGUAAGAGAAACAAGUUCGCAUCGUGCCUUAAGAAAGAAUGCUGUCUUUAUUAAUAAAGAAAAAAGAAAUAUAUUAGCUCUGUAAAUCUAUCAAUGCCAAACGCAAACGUCGACAUGAACGUCCCGCCUGGUAACUCAAUGAACGAGCAAACAAAAAAAA